rnacentral:rRNA from 1 species
UACGAGAGGCCCAAACGUUAUUCGGAAUUACUGGGCUUAAAGAGUUCGUAGGCGGCAUGAAAAGUAGGGUGUGAAAGCCCUCGGCUCAACCGAGGAAUUGCGCUCUAAACUGUCGUGCUCGAGGAACCUAGAGGUGAGCAGAACUGAUGGUGGAGCGGUGAAAUGCGUUGAUAUCAUCAGGAAUACCGGAGGCGAAGGCGGCUCACUGGGGGUUUUCUGACGCUGAGGAACGAAAGCCAGGGGAGCGAACGGG